rnacentral:rRNA from 1 species
GACGAACGCUGGCGGCGUGCUUAACACAUGCAAGUCGAACGGAAAGGCCCUGCUUUUGUGGGGUGCUCGAGUGGCGAACGGGUGAGUAACACGUGAGUAACCUGCCCUUGACUUUGGGAUAACCUCAGGAAACUGGGGCUAAUACCGGAUAGGAGCUCCUGCUGCAUGGUGGGGGUUGGAAAGUUUCGGCGGUUGGGGAUGGACUCGCGGCUUAUCAGCUUGUUGGUGGGGUAGUGGCUUACCAAGGCUUUGACGGGUAGCCGGCCUGAGAGGGUGACCGGCCACAUUGGGACUGAGAUACGGCCCAGACUCCUACGGGAGGCAGCAGUGGGGAAUAUUGCACAAUGGGCGGAAGCCUGAUGCAGCAACGCCGCGUGCGGGAUGACGGCCUUCGGGUUGUAAACCGCUUUCGCCUGUGACGAAGCGUGAGUGACGGUAAUGGGUAAAGAAGCACCGGCUAACUACGUGCCAGCAGCCGCGGUGAUACGUAGGGUGCGAGCGUUGUCCGGAUUUAUUGGGCGUAAAGGGCUCGUAGGUGGUUGAUCGCGUCGGAAGUGUAAUCUUGGGGCUUAACCCUGAGCGUGCUUUCGAUACGGGUUGACUUGAGGAAGGUAGGGGAGAAUGGAAUUCCUGGUGGAGCGGUGGAAUGCGCAGAUAUCAGGAGGAACACCAGUGGCGAAGGCGGUUCUCUGGGCCUUUCCUGACGCUGAGGAGCGAAAGCGUGGGGAGCGAACAGGCUUAGAUACCCUGGUAGUCCACGCUGUAAACGGUGGGUACUAGGUGUGGGGUCCAUUCCACGGGUUCCGUGCCGUAGCUAACGCUUUAAGUACCCCGCCUGGGGAGUACGGCCGCAAGGCUAAAACUCAAAGGAAUUGACGGGGCCCCGCACAAGCGGCGGAGCAUGCGGAUUAAUUCGAUGCAACGCGUAGAACCUUACCUGGGUUUGACAUGGAUCGGGAGCGCUCAGAGAUGGGUGUGCCUCUUUUGGGGUCGGUUCACAGGUGGUGCAUGGCUGUCGUCAGCUCGUGUCGUGAGAUGUUGGGUUAAGUCCCGCAACGAGCGCAACCCUUGUUCACUGUUGCCAGCACGUUAUGGUGGGGACUCAGUGGAGACCGCCGGGGUCAACUCGGAGGAAGGUGGGGAUGACGUCAAGUCAUCAUGCCCCUUAUGUCCAGGGCUUCACGCAUGCUACAAUGGCUGGUACAGAGAGUGGCGAGCCUGUGAGGGUGAGCGAAUCUCGGAAAGCCGGUCUCAGUUCGGAUUGGGGUCUGCAACUCGACCUCAUGAAGUCGGAGUCGCUAGUAAUCGCAGGUCAGCAACGCUGCGGUGAAUACGUUCCCGGGGCU